AGUGAACGCUGGCGGCAGGCCUAAUACAUGCAAGUCGAACGGCAGCACAGCAGAGCUUGCUCUGUGGGUGGCGAGCGGCGGACGGGUGAGGAAUACAUGGGAAUCUGCCCAGUCGUGGGGGAUAACGUAGGGAAACUUACGCUAAUACCGCAUGCGCCCUUCGGGGGAAAGCCGGGGACCUUCGGGCCUGGCGCGAUUGGAUGAGCCCAUGUCGGAUUAGCUAGUUGGCGGGGUAAAGGCCCACCAAGGCGACGAUCCGUAGCUGGUCUGAGAGGAUGAUCAGCCACACUGGAACUGGGACACGGUCCAGACUCCUACGGGAGGCAGCAGUAGGGAAUAUUGGACAAUGGGCGCAAGCCUGAUCCAGCCAUGCCGCGUGAGUGAAGAAAGCCCUCGGGUUGUAAAGCUCUUUUGUCCGGAAAGAAAAGCAUCCAGUUAAUACCUGGGUGUCCUGACGGUACCGGAAGAAUAAGCACCGGCUAACUUCGUGCCAGCCGCCGCAGUAACAC
rnacentral:rRNA from 1 species